GUUUUCAUUAUACAGAUGAGUCCUCUUUCAACCCUCUAGGAGUGACUGAAGCUUUCAAAGAUCAAAGCCCUGAGAACCUGCCAGGCCGCGAAGCCUAAACGUACGUCAACCCGAACGCUACGCUAUAACUCACCCAGGGCUCCAAAUUCAUUUUGAACAUAUUGCUGCAGGAAUAUUUUCUACUUAUACAAGAUAGGAAUGCAACUAUUGUGAAAGGUUGCCCCUUUGCCCGAGAAACACCUCUAGGGAUGUGAUGGAGGUACACUAAAUGUGGGGUUCUAAAAGAUGGAGGUGCAGCUCGUUAAAUCUAUUUGUGAAUGUAUAAUGUCAUGGCUCAAUGUCAGAUUGUAAGUUCCCUGCAGCUGUGAUACAUAUUGCUGUGGUGAUAUUGUAGUCAAUGUUUUCCAUAAUUAACCUCAACCGUCAUAUUCCAUGUUCACUCACACAUACAGCUGCCAUCUGCUUGUGGGACGCUCCAUUUGCUUUCAUUCAGGGUUGUGAAGUGUCCUUUCUGACCGUGGGACCUGUUACUUGGGACAUGCCCUAGUUAACGUGGGACCUGUGAGUCUUCCUUUAGGACAUACCCCAGUUAACGUGGGACCUGUUAUUCUUCACAUGGGACCUACCCUAGUUAACGUGGUACCCAUUAGUCUUCACUUAGGUCCCACGUUAACUAGGGUAGGUCCUGUUAGUCUUCACUUAGGUCCCACGUUAACUAGGGUAGGUCCUGUUAGUCUUCACUUGGGACAUACCCUAGUUAAUGUGGGACCUGUUAGUAUUCACUUAGGACAUACCCUAGUUAACUUGGGACCAAUUAGUCCAGCUAAUCACUGACACAGAAAGUGCUCUGAACACUGAAGGAGCACAGGGGAUAAUGAGGAUAAUGACUAUUAAUUACUAUUAAAAAAAUUGGCAGAGUGAAUGCCAGAAAAUUAAAAGAUACGUUCUCUGUCAUGGGCUGCCAGUCACAAUAAAAGUGACUGGGAGUGAAAUGGGCGGCAAGAAUAAUGCAGGAGAAAGGUGCCAGGCUGGGACAGCACUUGUAUUGUAUUUACAUAAGGUGAAUGUGAUUACAUGCAUUGACAUACAUUUCAUUGUAUGUAUUCACAUUUACCAGGAGGAGCUUUGCUUUUGUGUUGAUUUAGACGGCGCCUGCGGACAAAGGUAGUUGUGUCCAACCACACCAAGGCUGCCUGAGGAGACCUUUCUUACAGCAGCAGGGUCCUACCAUCUGGAGCAAAGGAGUAGCUAGGAGCUCUUCUCCCAGCAACUGUAAGGCUAAAUCACUUUUAUUUAUUUGGAUAUGAACAAUGUCUAGCAACCCAAUGGUAAAGAGUUAUCUAAGUAAAUGUGAAGCAUUGUGAAUAUAUGACAUGCCCAGAAACUAAUCCAACACACGUUCCUGCACACAGUUAAACAGAACCAGGUGUCGCCAUGUUUCUUUUUGUCAAGCUUGUCCGACCUAGCUGCACCAACUGAGGGGGCGGGGGGGCAGGUUGAUGUGGACGUCUCAGGGCAUCUGGUAAAUGGAAGGAGAGGUUCCUAAGAAACGCACGGAGACAAGGAAAGAGGGGCAGACUGACAGAUGUGCCACCAGGAAAGAUACCAACGUUCCUUUUGCUUCACUGAUGUUUGUCAGUCUCUAGUACGGAAAGAGUCAUCCUACUGUUUGCUCAGUUUCUUUUGUGUACCAAACCAAAACCAAACAGCGAACAGAUUGACAAAACACAGAACCAGCUUCCUUGCUGCGGGGGCUCUGCAGCUGCCCAUUAGCUCAGCCUCAGCGGGGCAGCUGUGCGGGAACGGACAGCUUGUCAUGAUGAGUGACAGAGGAUGAGGGGGGAGGUUUGAGGCGGGGGCGGGGGGCACUUUACCAGUUUGAGCUGCUUUCAAGCUGUUACUUGUACAUUGUGUCUAUGUAUUGACGAAUUCACUGAAUUGUAAUACAGUCUGGUCCAUCCCUCCGUGCUGGUUGUACCUGAUCCUCGGUUUUGUUGUGUUCAAAAAUGAAGAAACGCCGGACGGACAGAGGUCAUCGCUGAUCAAAAGGUUAAAUCAAAUGUAUUUAAUAAAGGAGAUGGCGGUAAAAAGAACAUCGCAGCUGAGGAGCCGCUGGUCUCAGCGACCAACAGGCCCCAGGUCAGUCCUUUGACCAUCCCUAGUGCCAGUUUGUCGCCUCCAUCAGCGAACUCGAGAACAAUGGUUCCUACAGGUAUUUAUAACAAUGCUUAAAGGUGUGAAAGUCAGUGUCCACACCUCCGGGAGUGGUCUUCUGGUGAGUU
ensembl:lncRNA